AUUUCAAUGAAAGGGUCUGAGACCACAGCCAUAAGCUGCGAAAGCCAAGAGGACAGCUAAGGACUAAGGAAUUGACACUACGCCCGAAUCUGGCAGAAGAGUCAAGCCCCAAAUCGUGACAUGCACACAGAAAAAUGUGUGUGGGCCACUGGCUUAGGAAGACUGCGUUUUCCGGGGAAAUGACCCGUGGGUGAGCGCUGUGGCACAGACUUAAAAGACCUCCAUCAUUUCUGAUAAGAAAUUCACUGUCCUUCAGAUUAUUUGCUCUCACAGGACAAGAACUCGGACCUGGCUGAGCUAGAGACUAAGCACACUGCAACAUUUGGGAGCUCAUCUGGGAUUGUCAGAAGGGAACUGGAGACCAAGAUCCCACACUGAAGACACCAAGUUGCUACCACUUCAAGACUGCUACUGUACCAAGGAG